AAUUUACAACUUUAAGAUUAUAAAUAAAUCAUUUAUCCAUCCCUAUACAGUGUCAUUCCCAUCUACAUGAUAUAAUUUAAAAGGGUUCUAAAUACUCAAAUUAUUGACCAUGCAUGAACACUUAACUUUAUCAUUAGUGCGUAUGUAUUAAACUGAAAUAGUUUUCUAUCAUUGACGAGAUUGUAUGGUACCACAUAGAUAUAAAAAAACUUUAAUUAUGAAAAGAAACAGUGCAUGGAUUUUUAGUCAAUGUUAGUUGUAGCUCUUCUGUCUGGCAAAAAAGAAAAGUAUAUGUCUGCCCUUUAGCGGCCUUGGCUCCAAUGGAGUCCUCGUACAAUUCAUGUAUUUUAUGUGUUCCAGAUACAAAAUAUAUGCUGUAUAUCAUUGAGCAGUUAUUUUUUGAUUGUCAGUCACUGUAAAAUUUUAUUGGAAUCCAUGAAUCUGUGAUGGUUGACUUUCUUGAUAGCUACAUUACCCUUGGUUUCUUUUGUUAUUAUACAACAUGUACAGUGUAACAUAUGAAAGAAAAUGUUUUAUAUGAGAGAGAGAGAGAGAGAAAGAGAGAGAGAGAAAGAGAGAGCUGUAAUUCCUUUUAAUCUGAAUGCAUAGAAAAGAGAAAUUGUUUUUAUCAGUUAUUUUGUCUACAUUCAUGCAUAUAAGAGAUAUACAAUGUGUUUAUGUGUAUGCAUUUGGUGCACAGAUCUUUUUGUAACAGUGCUUUAGACAUGUAUGCAGAUACUUAUUGAAUAAAUAAAAUAUCUUUCAUGU
rnacentral:misc_RNA from 1 species